rnacentral:rRNA from 1 species
GAUGAACGCUGGCGGCGUGCCUUAGGCAUGCAAGUCGAACGGGUUCCGUAAGGAACCAGUGGCAGACGGGUGAGUAACGCGUAGGAAUCUACCUCUGGGUAGGGCAUAGCUGGCCGAAAGGUCAGGUAAUUCCCCUAUAGUCUCGCAAGAGUAAAGGACUUAACGGUCCGCCGAGAGAGGAGCCUGCGUCCUAUCAGCUAGUUGGUGAGGUAAAGGCUCACCAAGGCGAUGACGGGUAGCUGGACUGAGAGGUCGAUCAGCCACAACUGC